rnacentral:rRNA from 1 species
AGAGUUUGAUCCUGGCUCAGAACGAACGCUGGCGGCAGGCUUAACACAUGCAAGUCGAACGCCCUCUUCGGAGGGAGUGGCAGACGGGUGAGUAACACGUGGGAAUCUACCUAUCGGUAAGGAACAACACAUAGAAAUGUGUGCUAAUACCUUAUACGUCCUCAGGGAGAAAGAUUUAUCGCCGAUAGAUGAGCCCGCGUUUGAUUAGCUAGUUGGUGAGGUAAUGGCUCACCAAGGCGACGAUCAAUAGCUGGUCUGAGAGGAUGAUCAGCCACACUGGGACUGAGACACGGCCCAGACUCCUACGGGAGGCAGCAGUGGGGAAUAUUGGACAAUGGGCGCAAGCCUGAUCCAGCCAUGCCGCGUGAGUGAUGAAGGCCCUAGGGUUGUAAAGCUCUUUCAACGGUGAAGAUAAUGACGGUAACCGUAGAAGAAGCCCCGGCUAACUUCGUGCCAGCAGCCGCGGUAAUACGAAGGGGGCUAGCGUUGUUCGGAAUAACUGGGCGUAAAGCGCACGUAGGCGGAUUGGAAAGUUAGAGGUGAAAUCCCAGGGCUCAACCCUGGAACUGCCUUUAAAACUAUCAGUCUAGAGGUCGAGAGAGGUGAGUGGAAUUCCGAGUGUAGAGGUGAAAUUCGUAGAUAUUCGGAGGAACACCAGUGGCGAAGGCGGCUCACUGGCUCGAUACUGACGCUGAGGUGCGAAAGUGUGGGGAGCAAACAGGAUUAGAUACCC